rnacentral:rRNA from 1 species
GACGAACGCUGGCGGCGUGCUUAACACAUGCAAGUCGAACGGAAAGGCCCUGCUUUUGUGGGGUGCUCGAGUGGCGAACGGGUGAGUUACACGUGAGUAACCUGCCCUUGACUUUGGGAUAACUUCAGGAAACUGGGGCUAAUACCGGAUAGGAGCUCCCGCUGCUUGGUGGGGGUUGGAAAGUUUCGGCGGUUGGGGAUGGACGCGCGGCUUAUCAGCUUGUUGGUGGGGUAGUGGCUUACCAAGGCUUUGACGGAUAGCCGGCCUGAGAGGGUGACCGGCCACACAGGGUGUGAGUGACAGCCCAGACACCUACGGGAGGGAGGAGGGAGGAAGGUUGCACAAAGAGCGGACGCCUGAUGGAGCAACCCCUGGUGCGGGAGGAAGGCCUUCGGUAUGUAAACCACUUUCGCCUAUGACGAAGGAUAAGUGCCGUAAAUGGAUAAAGAAGCACCGGCAAACUACGU